ACCGAAUAUAUUGUAACACCGGGACGUCUGCAUUGGUGUUGUAGGAGAAAUUAAAUGUCUUGCGGCUAAGAAAUGAUGCAUAUGAAAUUCCAUCAGCUUCAUUCUCCUGAAACAGUAGAGGUUGUGGAAGAACUAAUAACCUGAACCAGGACUGGAUUCACAAUAGUGUUCAGGGUAAAAUGGAACAAGAUGAUUGGACACUGGCUGACGUUUUUUAUACACUGAUACCGUAAUUGAUUAUUUCAAAAUUCUUUUAUUCACUUAUCUUCAUCUUUUGUCUUAUUUAAUACAAUGUGUCUCUUUGGUAAUCAGAGUAGUUUGAUAACCCCUUUUUUUCAGAUGUGCUUCAAUGUGCAGAUUGCUAUGAAUUGUAUGUUUAACACUUAACUGUUUAUGUCAAUGCUUUAUGAUAUGUUCUGCCACUUUAAAUGUCUAACUUAUGCACAUGAAUAAUGACAAUACUUGCAAUGGCCUAUACUCUUGUAUUUUAUUGUGACUAUAUGGUAUCAAAAAGCUCCUCUCUCACAGCAGCCUUUUAACAAUGUUUCCUGUCUGUGAUUGUUGACUAAAUGUAGCUCAUGUGCCAGCAAUUUACAAAGCAAGUCGUCUCACGCACAUUGAACAGAGACACUCUAUUUAGAGAAAUACUUCUAAUA